rnacentral:rRNA from 1 species
GACGAACGCUGGCGGCGUGCUUAACACAUGCAAGUCGAGCGGUAAGGCCUUUCGGGGUACACGAGCGGCGAACGGGUGAGUAACACGUGGGUGAUCUGCCCUGCACUCUGGGAUAAGCCUGGGAAACUGGGUCUAAUACUGGAUAUGACCUCAGCAUGCAUGUGCUGGGGUGGAAAGCUUUUGUGGUGCAGGAUGGGCCCGCGGCCUAUCAGCUUGUUGGUGGGGUAAUGGCCUACCAAGGCGACGACGGGUAGCCGACCUGAGAGGGUGACCGGCCACACUGGGACUGAGACACGGCCCAGACUCCUACGGGUGGCAG